UUGUCCAAAGAAGACAUACAGAUGGCUUGGGCACAUGAAAUGAUCAUCAGUUAUCAUUAUGAAAAUGCAAAUCAAAACCACAAUGAGAUACCACCUUAAACCUGCCCACAAGGCACUGGAGCAUGACCAUCCCCUUUCGUGAGGGAGGAUCUUCCAAAAUCAAAUAUUUAUUCAAAGCCUCUUAUUCAACACAGUGCACAAACAUAAAUCUAGAUGGCAUCUGGCUAGUGAAGAAAAUCAAAAUGACAGAAAUGUGCUUUCCUCAAAAAUGACUCUCCCCUUUGCCAAGACUUUUGUUUAUUUCAGUGGAGUUCUGUUUCUGCCCAUAUAAUGAAGCACCAGUUUCUGUAAGCUUUGUCUACCAGACCUUAGUCAGCUGGGAAAUCCUCUCGUCGGGCCAGCAAAGGACCAAUUGCAUCAUCCCUUUGGAGGACAGCACCCUGGGAAGAUGAGGCAAUUAUAACCCCAGAUUGCUACAUGGCCUGGGAACACCAGGAAGACUGUUAACACCUCGCCUCUCUGGCACAAGAUCAUACUCAACAGCUUAUUAAGAUUCAGGCAUAAGCACCAAUGACUAAGGUGCAGCAAAGGUCUGGGAUUUACUUCCAACUCAUUUAAUUACAGAAAUCAAUGAACUCCUGGAGUUGUGCCAGGUGAGAGAAAAUGAACACAGUCCAACUGACAUUUUUGCCAUCAAGAUAGUUCAAGGAACCCUGCCUCAAGAAACUAUUACAAUCUACAAGACCCCAAAUUGGCAAAGUAAUGAGGGUAGAAGUCUGAAAUAUUUGCUUUGAAUAAAAAUAUAUGACCUAGUUUUACAAU